CAAGAUCCUAUUAAAGACGAAUUUUGUAAUUUUAAACCAACAUUAUCAUAAUAUGGGUGUGACAAUUCCAAACGAGUCUGAUUUUUUAGGUCAACAAAGUUGUAUUAAAGAAUAAUUCGUAGUUCCUUAUUAAUAGUUUUACAGUCGAACGACUAUGGCCAAAUUCAUGUAAUUUUCAGUUUUGUGCAUUACGAGAAAGUUACAUACGAGUGAAAGAAAUGACAAUCGUUUAUAUAAGCCUGAGGACAAA